rnacentral:rRNA from 1 species
AUCGAACGCUGGCGGCAGGCCUAACACAUGCAAGUCGAGCGGAGCGGCGGACGGGGGAGUAAUGCCUAGGAAUCUGCCUGGUAGUGGGGGAUCACGUACGGAAACGGGCGCUAAUACCGCAUACUAUCAGAUGAGCCUAGGGUGGAUUAGCUAGUUGGGGGGGUAAAGGCUUACCAAGGUGAUGAGCCGUAACUGGUCUGAGAGGAUGAUCAGUCACACUGGGACUGAGACACGGCCCAGACUCCUACGGGAGGCAGCAGUGGGGAAUAUUGGACAAUGGGCGAAAGCCUGAUCCAGCCAUGCCGCGUGUGUGAAGAAGGUCUUCGGAUUGUAAAGCACUUUAGGUAGGGAGGCGUUACCAACAGAGUAAGCACCGGCUAACUACGUGCCAGCCGCCGCGGUAAUAC